rnacentral:rRNA from 1 species
AUUGAUCGCUGGCGGCAGGCCUAACACAUGCAAGUCGAACGGUAACAGAAAGCAGCUUGCUGCUUUGCUGACGAGUGGCGGACGGGUGAGUAAUGUCUGGGAAACUGCCUGAUGGAGGGGGAUAACUACUGGAAACGGUAGCUAAUACCGCAUAACGUCGCAAGACCAAAGAGGGGGACCUUCGGGCCUCUUGCCAUCGGAUGUGCCCAGAUGGGAUUAGCUAGUAGGUGGGGUAAAGGCUCACCUAGGCGACGAUCACUAGCUGGUCUGAGAGGAUGACGAGCCACACUGGAACUGAGACACGGUCCAGACUCCUACGGGAGGCAGCAGUGGGGAAUAUUGCACAAUGGGCGCAAGCCUGAUGCAGCCAUGCCGCGUGUAUGAAGAAGGCCUUCGGGUUGUAAAGUACUUUCAGCGGGGAGGAAGGGAGUAAAGUUAAUACCUUUGCUCAUUGACGUUACCCGCAGAAGAAGCACCGGCUAACUCCGUG